rnacentral:misc_RNA from 1 species
GAUGAAGAACGCAGCGAAAUGCGAUAAGUAAUGCGAAUUGCAGAAUUCCAGUGAGUCAUCGAAUCUUUGAACGCACAUUGCGCCCUUUGGUAUUCCGAAGGGCAUGCCUGUUCGAGCGUCAUUAUCACCCCUCAAGCCCUCGGCUUGGUGUUGGACGGUUUGGUGGAGGCCCCCUCGGGGGCUCCUGCCCCUCCCAAAGACAAUGACGGCGGCCUCGUUGGACCCCCGGUACACUGAGUUCUUCACGGGACACGUAUCGGACACAUGGGUUUGCGGGACACGGUCUGCCUCCCCUCAGGGAGAAUCUUUCUAAGGUUGACCUCGGAUCAGGUAGGGAUACCCGCUGAACUUAAGCAUAUCAAUAAGCGGAGGA